rnacentral:lncRNA from 1 species
CGUUGAAGCGUUGUUCACGUACACGCGCUCGGACUACAAUGUAGAGUAUGACAUUGACUGUGUGAAGAUGUCUGCCUAAAGUAUUGACAACGAAUCCUUUUCAAGACCGUUAUGCUGUGGCCACAGGUCGUGAAACAACGUUGAAGAGGAAACAGAGACGUUUUCGAUCAGUGUCUAACGGCUGCGAGUUGCUCAUGACGCAGUUUCUACGCAAGGAUACUGCGGAUCUGAAAGACUGAUGCACACAGUGCAAUUUUCUAAUAACAAGAAAAAGAAGCUUGAAAGCAUUUUCACCGAAAUCUCGAGUCUGCUGUCAUUCAUCGGGAGCUGACAUGGCAGCUCUGGCAUCACCUAGCACAUUGGCCAUGGGAACAUGAUCCUGAUCCCUGUAGGAAGAUGUGCACAAAUGCAUUUCCAUUUGCCGGUUGGCAUCACAAAAAGGGUACGUAUAUAUGUGUGAGGUGACCUGAUUAGUGGAAAUUCACAAGAUUGCUGUUGCAAGAGUGCACAAGAAGAGCGAGAGAAAACAUCAAUAUAAGCAGAUACCGCAGGGUCGUUCGAUGAGCCCUGGGCGCCUCCCGCCUUGAGACAUGGCCACCCGGUGCCGAUAAGGGCCACAGCACUAUGCCAUCAGCUGAACUACUCAGAAAGUGCUACUGUGUUUUUCAAAGUAUUGAGGCUGAUUGAAACGUGCGGACAGAUUUUAUUUCAUCUUCUUUUCUCCUAAUCUUUUCUUCCUUUACCCCAUACCUCGUGCAGAGUAGCCAUUGAGACAAUUAACUUGGUUAACCUCUCUGCCCUAAAUCUGUCUCCCUCUCUCAGGGACUUGUUGGCUGGGAAG